AGUAGCGAUGGAUUGAGAGCUUGCUCAAGUUAGCGGCGGACGGGUGAGUAACACGUGGGUAACCUGCCCAUAAGACUGGGAUAACUCCGGGAAACCGGGGCUAAUACCGGAUAACAUUUUGAACUGCAUGGUUCGAAAUUGAAAGGCGGCUUCGGCUGUCACUUAUGGAUGGACCCGCGUCGCAUUAGCUAGUUGGUGAGGUAACGGCUCACCAAGGCAACGAUGCGUAGCCGACCUGAGAGGGUGAUCGGCCACACUGGGACUGAGACACGGCCCAGACUCCUACGGGAGGCAGCAGUAGGGAAUCUUCCGCAAUGGACGAAAGUCUGACGGAGCAACGCCGCGUGAGUGAUGAAGGCUUUCGGGUCGUAAAACUCUGUUGUUAGGGAAGAACAAGUGCUAGUUGAAUAAGCUGGCACCUUGACGGUACCUAACCAGAAAGCCACGGCUAACUACGUGCCAGCAGCCGCGGUAAUACGUAGGUGGCAAGCGUUAUCCGGAAUUAUUGGGCGUAAAGCGCGCGCUGGUUUCUUAAGUCUGAUGUGAAAGCCCACGGCUCAACCGUGGAGGGUCAUUGGAAACUGGGAGACUUGAGUG
rnacentral:rRNA from 2 species